UACGUAGGUGGCAAGCGUUGUCCGGAAUUACUGGGUGUAAAGGGAGCGUAGGCGGGAAUGCAAGUUGAAUGUAUAAACGGUCGGCUCAACCGGCCGAAGCGUUCAAAACUGCAGUUCUUGAGUGGAGUAGAGGCAGGCGGAAUUCCUAGUGUAGCGGUGAAAUGCGUAGAUAUUAGGAGGAACACCAGUGGCGAAGGCGGCCUGCUGGGCUUUAACUGACGCUGAGGCUCGAAAGCGUGGGUAGCAAACAGG
rnacentral:rRNA from 1 species